CCUUGCUGCAUAUUUAUAUUUAUAAAAGAAGAUUCCAUCUGAUCUUGGAAGCUAAGUAGAGUCAGGCCUGGUUAGUGCUUGAAUGGGAGACCACCUAGGAAGAUCAGGUGCUGUAGAUG
rnacentral:rRNA from 1 species